rnacentral:rRNA from 1 species
AGAGUUUGAUCAUGGCUCAGAACGAACGCUGGCGGCAUGCCUAACACAUGCAAGUCGAACGCCAUGGUUUCGGCCAUGGAGUGGCGCACGGGUGAGUAACGCGUGGGAACCUGCCCAGCAGUAUGGGACAACCGCGGGAAACUGCGGCUAAUACCGUAUACGCCCCUGCAAGGGGGGAAAGAUUGAUCGCUGUUGGAGGGGCCCGCGUCGGAUUAGGUAGUUGGUGGGGUAAUGGCCUACCAAGCCUGCGAUCCGUAGCUGGUCUGAGAGGAUGAUCAGCCACACUGGGACUGAGACACGGCCCAGACUCCUACGGGAGGCAGCAGUGGGGAAUAUUGGACAAUGGGCGCAAGCCUGAUCCAGCAAUGCCGCGUGAGUGAUGAAGGCCUUAGGGUUGUAAAGCUCUUUCACACGCGACGAUGAUGACGGUAGCGUGAGAAGAAGCCCCGGCUAACUCCGUGCCAGCAGCCGCGGUA